rnacentral:rRNA from 1 species
GACGAACGCUGGCGGCGUGCUUAACACAUGCAAGUCGUACGGUAAGGCCCUUUCGGGGGUACACGAGUGGCGAACGGGUGAGUAACACGUGAGUAACCUGCCCACAACUUUGGGAUAACGCUAGGAAACUGGUGCUAAUACUGGAUAUGUGCUCCUGCUGCAUGGUGGGGGUUGGAAAGCUCCGGCGGUUGUGGAUGGACUCGCGGCCUAUCAGCUUGUUUGUGGGGUAGUGGCCUACCAAGGCGGCGACGGGUAGCCGGCCUGAGAGGGUGACCGGCCACAUUGGGACUGAGAUACGGCCCAGACUCCUACGGGAGGCAGCAGUGGGGAAUAUUGCACAAUGGGCGCAAGCCUGAUGCAGCAACGCCGCGUGCGGGAUGACGGCCUUCGGGUUGUAAACCGCUUUCAGCAGGGACGAAGCUUUUUGUGACGGUACCUGCAGAAGAAGCACCGGCUAACUACGUG